rfam:Clostridium sp. CAG:352 genomic scaffold, scf174
UUCCGGGAUAGAGGUGCGUUAAUUCGUGUAGCAAGGAGGAGAGUUCCGAAAUCUGAGAUACCUUGCGAAUAGAAUUAUCGCCGAAGCGUAGGGCUAUGGCAAAACCUUUCGCUGGCUGUGUGGAACAUCUCCAUAUGGCUGUCAUCAUACUUAUGGUGGAGAGCUAUCUUUAUA